rnacentral:rRNA from 1 species
UACGGGGGGGCAAGCGUUGUUCGGAAUUACUGGGCGUAAAGGGUUCGUAGGUGGCCAACUAAGUCAGACGUGAAAUCCCUCAGCUUAACUGGGGAACUGCGUCUGAUACUGGUUGGCUUGAGUGCAGGAGAGGAAUGCGGAAUUCCAGGUGUAGCGGUGAAAUGCGUAGAUAUCUGGAGGAACACCGGUGGCGAAGGCGGCAUUCUGGACUGCAACUGACACUGAUGAACGAAAGCCAGGGAGCAAACGGG